rnacentral:rRNA from 1 species
UACGUAGGCAGCGAGCGUUGUUCGGAGUUACUGGGCGUAAAGGGUGUGUAGGCGGUUCUUUUAAGUUUGGUGUGAAAUCUCCCGGCUCAACCGGGAGGGUGCGCCGAAUACUGAGGAACUAGAGUACGGGAGAGGAAAGUGGAAUUCCUGGUGUAGCGAUGAAAUGCGUAGAUAUCAGGAGGAACACCGGUGGUGUAGACGGCUUUCUGGACCGUAACUGACGCUGAGACACGAAAGCGUGGGUAGCAAACAGG